AGUGAACGCUGGCGGUAGGCCUAACACAUGCAAGUCGAACGGCAGCACAGUAAGUGCUUGCUCUUACGGGUGGCGAGUGGCGGACGGGUGAGGAAUACAUCGGAAUCUACUUUUUCGCGGGGGAUAACGAAGGGAAACUUACGCUAAUACCUCAUACGACCUACGGGUGAAAGCAGGGGAUCUUCGGACCUUGCGCGAUUGUAUGAGCGGAUGUCGGAUUAGCCAGUUGGCGGGGUAAAGGCGCACCAAGGCGACGAUCCGUAGCCGGUCUGAGAGGAUGAUCAGCGACACUGGAACUGGGACACGGUCCAGACUCCUACGGGAGGCAGCAGUGGGGAAUAUUGGACAAGGGGCACAAGCCUGAUCCAGCCAUACCGCGUGGGUGAAGAAGGCCUUCGGGUUGUAAAGCCCUUUUGUUGGGAAAGAAAAGCAGCAGGUUAAUACCCCGCUGUUCUGACGGUACCCAAAGAAUAAGCACCGGCUAACUUCGUG
rnacentral:rRNA from 1 species